GACGGGGGGGGCAAGUGUUCUUCGGAAUGACUGGGCGUAAAGGGCACGUAGGCGGUGAAUCGGGUUGAAAGUGAAAGUCGCCAAAAAGUGGCGGAAUGCUCUCGAAACCAAUUCACUUGAGUGAGACAGAGGAGAGUGGAAUUUCGUGUGUAGGGGUGAAAUCCGUAAAUAUACGAAGGAACGCCAAAAGCGAAGGCAGCUCUCUGGGUCCCUACCGACGCGUGGGGUGCGAAAGCAUGGGGAGCGAACAGG
rnacentral:rRNA from 1 species